GGAGGCUGUCCGGAAGAGGCUGGGUCCGCACAGGUCCCUCAGGAGGUUGGAUUAGGUGACUUGGAAGGUCCCUGCCAACUCCAGAGCUCGUAUUUGCCCCCUCCCUCUCCCCUCUUUUGCCUACACCUUGUCUCCCGCGCCAUAGGCGUUACACCACACUGUUUACCGCAGGCUGCAGCUGGAAGACCUUGGGGAGCUCACCAUCCCAGUAGCACAGGGUCAUCCAGCCUGGUGCUACCACAGUAACCAAUGGUCUCAUUAAAACUUGCAGGUUUGCAGCUUCAGAAGACUUUCAGCACUGGUCCUACUCAAAAAGCUCCCACUUCCAUAAAUUGAUGAAGAUGAUGUAGCAAGUAGCAGAAAGCCUGCUAAAGUUAACUUCAUAAUAACCAAAUCUUUGGCUAAAAAGCACCUUGGACCUGGAGUUUAUGACUUGAGAAGACAGUUGUUACUGAAUUAAAGGAAACAUUCCCAUGCUGUCAACAGACUUACAUUUCUGCUGAAAUAUUUUCCAGAGAAAAUAGUUUGCUUCCUUUACUUGGAUAAAUAAAAAGAAGUUGAGGUGGUUAGGGUUGCUAAUGACAGUGUGUUGUGGUAGCCAAACACUGGGAGAAAUUAUGUAGGGGGUAUAGUACAAAGUAUGGUUAGUUAUGCAUUAGAAAUUGUCAUGCAUCUUUGUACUCUCUAGUCCUGUUGCUUUUAAAUGCAGCGUACUCUGCCUACCCAGCUGCUGUGAUCUUACCUGAUUUCAGGAGCUCAUGUAGAUCAGGGUGUUUCAGGCUAGAAAUGCAAAAAGCUGCACUGGGAGUUUGGCAGAUAGUCCUCCACCUUAGUGAUUAGCCAGUAGCCUAGCAUGGUGAUUUGGUAUGCUGUGUUGUGCAAGGGUGCUGCUUUUCAGAAGAGGAGUGAACUGGAAGACCUGGACUCCUUUGGCUAACAGAAUUGCCAGAGCAUUGUUUCCUAAGUGCAGUGUUUUAUCCCAUGACCAACUCAAAUACCACAGGUAAUUGUAUUCGAUCUCUCCAGAUUUGCCCUGCAUUUCCAGUUGGACAGAAAAAUUCUGACACUUGUAUUAAAGGACUGUAAAAGGAAUAGAUACAAUUGGCUGCUUCUUUUAAUAAAGGUGGAACAGGCACUGUCAGGAUCUUUGAAGAGACAAAUUCUUCUGACAACAGUGGUGGCAUGGGCUUUGCCUAUAUAAAGCUUUUUUUUUGGAAAUCUUCCACCUAUUGAUACAGCUGGUCCAUUUUCACCACUGGGGGCAACAGAGGGAAAGGCCACUUAAAUGCAGUACUGGCAACUGAAAGGGGUUGAACCAUAUCUAGAUGAGAAACCAUUGCUUCCUUGCUGGUACAAUGUUGCUGAAACAGUCAUGGUAAUCAUGGGAAUUCUUUUGACAUGGAAAUCCAAUAUAGAGAUGCCUGCCUCCAGGCCUCACACCAUUCAUUAUCAUUUCCUAUCCUUUACAGGUGUGCGCUAGAGCAAAAGUGCCUGUUUUUCAGCAACAGGUCACGUGUCCCUUUUGUGACCUUUACUCAGGGUGGGUAGUGAGAGGUUUAUUAGGCAUUAAGUGAGGUAAGGUUUGUGACCAUCAUCUUGAGCUCACUUGGUGUCAUGAUAUGGAAGCACAAUGUUAAUUUUAUUAAGCCUCAUAUACUUCACAAGAGGCUGAGCAAGACACCAAAUCAUUAAUUUAACUGAUCUUUCCCAGAAAAUCAGAAGCCUGACUUCAUAGCUUAGUACAUUUACAGUCCUGCAAAUUGUAUUAAUUGAAUCCUUUUUUUGUUUGGCUGGGGAAAAUUGAUUAUGCAGGUAAUGUCAAUAUUUUUCAUGCAACUCAGUCUCCUUGGCACUCUUUAAAUAUUACUACUGCUUUUUAAAGAUUUUAGUCAGUGACUAAAAGUAAUUGUAAAAUGACUGCAGUAAAACAGCAAUAAAUUAACCUUUCCCUA